GGGCGGUUAGCUCAGUUGGUUAGAGUACUUGCUCGACACGCAAGGGGUCACAGGUUCGAAUCCCGUACCGCCCA
rnacentral:tRNA from 2 species